CCGAGUAAUCUCACACUUGUCAAGAGGCUGACACAAGUUUUUUCCCCUUUUCUUCAAAUGACCAAACUUGCUGGACCAGAUAAAAAUACGUUUCAUGUCAGAGUCCUUGAAGUCGAGACGUGUGGAUGCUGACUCAUAGGCAAAGUCGGCUGCUUCGGGAGGGGCAGGCGGAGCAGAGUACGCUGCUAUGAGCUGGAGGAAAGUCAAGCAUGUGCAUCAAGUCAUGAAGACAUAAACGGUGAUGUCUGAACAAGCUGCGUUAUCCACAAAGAGAAAUAACAAAAGGUCAACAAAGAGUCCACCAACUGUGUCCUCCAUCACCGUACAGGAGAUGUUGCGGAUGUCGCUCCAAGGAAAGGACCUGUUAGGAGUGAGUUUGCUGUUGGGGCUGUAGAUGUGAAGACCCUGAGCAUCCACUCCAAGUAACAGAUCUAUUACCUUGGCUUGGACAGCGUAUGAUGCCAGGAGUACCGAUGCUUCAGGGGAACAGAAUAUCUCUUCAUCUAGUAUCUGUUUUUUCACCUAUAAUAUAUAUAAUAUGAACACACGUAUGAAUGUUGAACCAAUUCAAAUUAUUUCAUUUCAUUUUCUAAAACAUGCGCAAAUACUAGCCCCAUCUCAAGGAGAGUAUGCACAUAUCAUAAAGAUUAUUUUUAAUUAAAUGUU